UGGGGAAUAUUGGACAAUGGGCGCAAGCAUGAUCCAGCCAUGCCGCGUGGGUGAAGAAGGCCUUCGGGUUGUAAAGCCCUUUUGUCCGGAAAGAAAUCCUGUCGGAUAAUACCCGGCGGGGAUGACGGCACCGGAAGAAUAAGCACCGGCGAACUUCGCGCCAGCAGCAGAGGUAAUACGAAGGGUGCAAGCGUUACUCCGAAUUACUGGGCGUAAAGCGUGCGUAGGCGGUUCGUUAAUUCCGAUGUGAAAGCCCUGGGCUCAUCCUGGGAACUGCAUUGGAUACUGGCGAGCUAGAGUGUGGUAGAGGAUGGGGGAAUUCGCUGUGUAGCGGUGAAAUGCGUGGAGAUCGGGCGGAACACCAGUGGCAAAGGCGGCCAUCUGGACCAGCACUGACGCUGAGGCACGAAAGCGUGGGGAGCA
rnacentral:rRNA from 1 species